UCGAGUCAGAGAUUGGAGUUGUUCGC
rnacentral:piRNA from 1 species